GUCACCGUGAGUCAACAGCUAGUCUUCAGCUUUAUUAAUGCAUAUUAUUAAUUAAAGCAUAUUAUUAUCUUCCUUCAUAUGUGGAUAGAAUCCACUCUUACUUUUCAAAGUUGGCUUAUUCAAUAGUGCGAAGUAUUUGAUACGUUCAUUAAUUAUCUUGGGCACCUGUGGACUUAAUUUCAAGAAUAGUUCCCUUCGAAUGCUGCUAAAAAUCAUGGUGGCUAUAAAUAGCUAGGAGCGGUGGAUAGGAGGAGAGCAUAAUCAUGUUAGUCGCAUAUAUUUCCAAGAUGAAGGCCUUUCUUAUCGUAUGCUUUCUCUUAGCUACCAUCGUCUUCUCUCCCCUGUCCACUUGCACUGCUCGAGAAUUGGCCGAGCGAGCUAUACCCAGCCCAGGUCUUAACCCAGGCAAUGUUCCAUUCAAUUGCGGUAGGGGUAAGCGAUAUUGCGUACCUAGCCAACCACCAAAACGUUGCCCUCCUUACAAGCGUAAUUGUUAGAAGCAAGCAAAGUUGAGUGCUCAAAAAGUAUGGAGAGCUUCUGCUGUCUUUAUCAGUAUGUAAAAUGAUGAGAACUAUUUAUGUGCGGAAAAUAAAUAAAGUUCUCCAGUGGAUUAGAAGAAGCAAGCAACGUUGGGUGCUUAAAAAGUAUGGACGGCUCAUAGUGUCUUUAUCAAUGUGUAAAAUGUUAUUUUGAUAUGGGAACUAUUUAUGUGAGAAAUUAAAAGUAAAACUACUAUUAUAAUUUAUAAUAAAAAGUCUCUUAAUGUAUAGUAAUUUCUUGAUACCAUUUAACUUUUAUUUCAGUAGGGUUAUUCUCAUGAAAAUAUUGAAAGUUAUAAAUAAUUUUCAUCCAAGGUGUCUUAUAUCUGUGUAAGAAUGAGAAGUGUAAUUUAGGAUUAUUAUGGUUGAGGGUAAUUAUGUACGUAGUAAUCUCAUCUAACAGACUUUCUUCUUUAAUCAUGUUGAGCGCGACAUGACAUGAACGGAAAAUGUUUACAAGAAGAUGCCUUCCGGGGCUGUUUAUUUUUUAAAAAAAAAAAAUAGUAUUUUGUGAUUUUUUGAAAAGAAUAUUGCUUGAAAUUAAUAUUUUUUAUUUUUAGAUUGUUGUGAUGUGUUAAUAUGAAAAAUAAUUUUUAAAAAUUUAAAAUAAAAAUAUUAUAUAUAUAUAUAUAUAUCUAAAUAAAAAAAAUAUUUUUAAAAAUAAUAUGUAUAAUCUUAAUAUAUAAAAAGGACCCAUAAAAACACUAUCGUAAUAUAUAAAAAGGACCCAGCAAGCUGACAUAAACUUAGGAAGAGUAGACGAAGAUGCCUUUCGUCUAUAUUUGACUCGGAGUAUAGAUAAUUCUUUUGUAUUGACUUGGAGUCAACGUGCAUGGAAGCAAGUUGAGUAUUUAAGGAUCCAGAGAGGCGAUAUUUAUGUAGUAACGUCGCCUAGAAGUCUACAAUGGUGUACUAAGGAGGCUAAAAUUAACGUUGCUGGUAAUAUUAAGUAUAAACUAAAAUGUGAGUUUUUUUUACCGUGUAUUCAUAUAUUAUUAUGGAUUAAAUGUCUAAAAUCUUUAGUUUUUUUUUCAAUUUGAUUCUUAAUUUUGUUUUUGAGAUUUAGUCCUAAUUGUGUAAAAUCUUUUUUAUUAGGUGGUUUUUUACCUUUAUACUUCAUGAAAAAAUAUAUAUAUAUAUAUAUAAACUCGGAUUGAUUUUUUGUUUUUGGUUGAUUUUGGUUUUUGAGACAGUUUUUUGAAGUCAAUGAUAGAUUUAUCACGGUUCCUAAAAUAUUUUAUAGGUAUUUUAAGUAAACAAUUUAAAAAUGGGUUUUUAAGUCAAAAAAGUUAAGCCCUGAUUUUUCAGCCAUUGUGGUGGCUGGAAUAUAAACAAAUCAAAUAACUUGUUCUCUGAUUUUUUUUUCAAAAAAAAGUAGGACAAAGGACAUGCUACAAAAGAAAUAAGAGUCCAAUCACGGGGGCUUGCCAGUGCAGGCUCACUUGGGGAACCUAACACAAUGGGCAAGGCGUCCGAACCCAACAAAGCUUGGCCUUUGUUUUUUUCUUGUAAAUUAUUAUUUCUUAAUUUUUUUAAAUGAAUGAUUUGUUUUGUUUUUUUCUCUAAUUUUUUUAUUUUUCAGAUUAUAUUUAUAACAUGUGUAACCGCGCAUCGUGUUUUUUUCCCCUUUUAUUCUAUUCAAUAAAUUUAAUUUGUGUUUCCAUUUUUAUUAUUAUUUUCUUUAAUAAAAAAUUAUCUUAAUAAAUAAAUUUAGCAAAUACAAUAAGAUAAAUUUCUUAUAUUUGAAGAUUAAAUAUCUUGAUGUAAACCUAAAUCUUAAUUUUCAAAGCUUUAUAAUUUUCGAAGCUUUAUACCUUAGAAAAUGAUACCUCAAUUUUGUACAUAUGAACUACGUUUUGCUUGGAAACCUCUGAAGGUGGAGCCUGUCACCGUGAGUCAACAGCUAGUCUUCAGCUUUAUUAAAGCAUAUAUACUAUUAUCUUCCAUCAUAUGUGGAUAGAAUGCACUCUUACUUUUCAAAGUUGGCUUAUUCAAUAGUGCGAAGUAUUUGAUACGUUCAUUAAUUAUCUUGGGCACGUGUGGACUUAAUUUCAAGAAUAGUUCCCUUGGAAUGCUGCUAAAAAUCAUGGUGGCUAUAAAGAAGAGCGGUGGAUAGGAGGAGAGCAUAACCAUGUUAGUCACAUAUAUUUCCAAGAUGAAGGCCUUUCUUAUCGCAUGCAUUCUCUUGGCUACCAUUGUCUUCUCUCCCUUAUCCACUUGCACUGCUCGAGAAUUGGCCGAGCGAGACGCAUCCCGAGGAGCUGUUGACCCCGGCAAAGUCCCAACUUACCCCAGUGACCCCUUUCCACCAGUGUACGGUUGCCCAAAUCCUUACAAGCGUAAUUGUGGGCGCCAUUAAGAUUAGAAGCAAGCAAAGUUGAGUACUGCUUAAAAGUAUGGAGAGCUAUACUACUAUCUUUAUCAAUAUGUAAAAUGAUCAGAACUAUUUAUGUGAGAAAAAUAAGCAAAGUUCUCCAGUG